UACGAAGGGGGCUAGCGUUGUUCGGAAUUACUGGGCGUAAAGCGCACGUAGGCGGAUAUUUAAGUCAGGGGUGAAAUCCCGGGGCUCAACCCCGGAACUGCCUUUGAUACUGGGUAUCUAGAGUCCGAGAGAGGUGAGUGGAAUUCCGAGUGUAGAGGUGAAAUUCGUAGAUAUUCGGAGGAACACCAGUGGCGAAGGCGGCUCACUGGCUCGGUACUGACGCUGAGGCGCGAAAGCGUGGGGAGCAAACAGG
rnacentral:rRNA from 1 species